GAGAGGCUCGCCAGCAAUGGAAACUGCUAAUUUUCACUUCCCUGGUUGGACUCCAGGACCCGCUCG
rnacentral:tRNA from 1 species